ACUUGGGAUGUAAAACCUGGGAAGAACAUCACUCACACCCUUACCACACCAAGAAAAAAGCUGGACAAACUAGAAAUUCACAAAUUGUCUUGAUCCCAUCAGAAAGCCAAAGUCUCAGGGCAACCAAUUAACCCCAAAUCUAAGAAAACUCAGGUAUGUUCAAGGGUAGACAGGACACAAGUGUUUUCUUACCUGAGGCAGACAGUGUCAGAUACGAGUAAGAAAAUUUUAGCUGAAAUUGCUAACAAACUGGUAAAAGCCAAGUCUGACUUAGCAAAAGAAUAUAGAACUCUUUAAGGCCACACGUAAGGGGAAUGUGCGCUCACCUGAAGGCUAUUCUCCAGGAACCUAAAGGGGUUAGAACAGCAGGAGUCCUAAGAAAGCAUUUCUUUUUGUAAAAGCCUGGGGGAGGAGAACAACAGCCACUGUGGGAAAGGCAGGAAACAACUAAGAUCCUUCUCCAAAUAGAACAAAAGACUCAAACGGAAAGGAUUUACUGCAAAGACCCACAUUUCCCAGUGCGACUUAGUGUUCAAAAAUAUUGGGGCCGGCCUGGUGUUGCAGCCGUUAAAUGCGCACGUUCCACUUUGGCAGCCCAGGGUUCACCGGUUUGGAUCCCAGGUGCAGACAUGGCAUCGCUUGGCACGCCAUGCUGUGGUAGGCGCCCCAUAUAUAACGUGGAGGAAGAUGGGCAUGGAUGUAAGCUCAGGGCCAGUCUUCCUCAGCAAAAAGAGGAGGAUUGGCAGCAGUUAGCUCAGGGAUAAUCUUCCUCAAAAAAAAGAAAAAAAAUAUAUAUAUAUAUUACUGCUUGGUGUUUGAAAUUUCCUAGCUCUGUUUUCUUCCCCUACCUUGAAAUAGCUUCUCUUUCUCUAUUGUCCCUAUUUUGCUCCAUUUUGAUUCUACUCCCAGAAGUUUCUUCUCAGUAUAGAGCCUGUUCUACAAGUGAGCUCUAGCGGUGCAUUUGUGAAUGUUCACGGGAGAUAGACUAAUCUAGCUUCUUUAGUUCUUUUUAUCCUGGGUUGCUUAAUCUCAUCUGCUAUUGAAUAGGGAAAAAAAUCCCUUCCAUUUUCAGCUGCUGUUAUCAAAUUGGCCCACUGCACUUUCCAGUGAAUAUCUGUUAGCUAUUUCAGCGUUUUCCAUCCUCAGAUUCAUUGGACACCACCCUCGUUGCUUUCUUCUUCAUCCUGCACAAACAUGGAUAUGAUGCAGGUCUG
rnacentral:lncRNA from 1 species